GACAACAUGGCCGAGUGGUUAAGGCGUCAGACUUGAAAUCUGAUUCCCUAUGGGAGCGCAGGUUCAAACCCUGCUGUUGUCG
rfam:Rhizophagus irregularis DAOM 181602 strain DAOM 197198 GLOINscaffold_24869_Cont24704, whole genome shotgun sequence.